rnacentral:rRNA from 1 species
UACGUAGGGUGCGAGCGUUGUCCGGAAUUAUUUGGCGUAAAGGGCUCGUAGGCGGUUUGUCGCGUCGGGAGUGAAAACACCGGGCUUAACUCGGUGCUUGCUUUCGAUACGGGCAGACUAGAGGCAUGCAGGGGAGAACGGAAUUCCUGGUGUAGCGGUGAAAUGCGCAGAUAUCGGGAGGAACACCGGUGGCGAAGGCGGUUCUCUGGGCCUUACCUGACGCUGAGGAGCGAAAGCGUGGGGAGCGAACAGG